rnacentral:rRNA from 1 species
AGUGAACGCUGGCGGUAGGCCUAACACAUGCAAGUCGAACGGCAGCACAGUAAGAGCUUGCUCUUACGGGUGGCGAGUGGCGGACGGGUGAGGAAUACAUCGGAAUCUACUUUUUCGUGGGGGAUAACGUAGGGAAACUUACGCUAAUACCGCAUACGACCUACGGGUGAAAGCAGGGGAUCUUCGGACCUUGCGCGGUUGAAUGAGCCGAUUUGGGAUUAGCUAGUUGGGGGGGUAAUGGCCCACCAAGGCGAGGAUCCGUAGCUGGUGUGAGAGGAGGGUCAGCCACACUGGAACUGAGCCACGGUCCGGGCUCCUACGGGAGGCAGCAGUGGGGAAUAUUGGACAAUGGGCGCAAGCCUGAUCCAGCCAUACCGCGUGGGUGAAGAAGGCCUUCGGGUUGUAAAGCCCUUUUGUUGGGAAAGAAAAGCAGCAGGUUAAUACCACGCUGUUCUGACGGUACCCAAAGAAUAAGCACCGGCUAACUUCGUG